UGUCACUGUCAUUGCUGGAUUCAGAA
rnacentral:piRNA from 1 species